rnacentral:rRNA from 1 species
UACGUAGGCAGCAAGCGUUGUUCGGAGUUACUGGGCGUAAAGGGUGUGUAGGCGGUUUUCUAAGUCUGGUGUGAAAUCUCCCGGCUCAACUGGGAGGGUGCGCCGAAAACUGGAAGGCUAGAGUGCGGGAUGGGAGAGUGGAAUUCCUGGUGUAGCGGUGAAAUGCGUAGAUAUCAGGAGGAACACCUGUGGUGUAGACGGCUCUCUGGACCGCAACUGACGCUGAGGCGCGAAAGUCAGGGGAGCAAACGGG